UAUGGCUCUUAGUUCAGCAGAAUCUCAGCAAUCAAUUGAAGAUAACCCUAUCAAUCAAUCAGUAGAAAUCUGGAGAAAAUCUGAAAUUGAAUUUGAUUUAAACACCCAACCAACGAAAAGAGACGUUUUGAUGACAAAAUUAUCAUAUUCCAGUUCAUUGAAUAAAGAAGUUUGUCCCUAUGAUUUCUUCAAAAAAAAAAUAGAAAAUUUGACAAAAUCCCCUUCAAAUACUCUUCAAGAAUCAUUAAAUGAUAAGUUUUAUGAUGAUGAUGAAAGUACAAUACAAAGUUUGACUUUUUCAUCAGAGUCCUUUAAAACAACAAUGCUUCCUGCAUCAAUUCUCUCCUCAGAAGAAGGGGAAAAAGAAGAGAAACAAGAAAGAGACGAAGCUAAAGUAAAAGGUGAUGAAGAUGAGGGACAAGAAAGAGAUGAAAAUAACGAAGAAGAGGAUGAGGUUAAGGAAGAAGAACAAGGAAGAGAUGAUAAUAAAAUAGAAGCAGAAGAAGAACAGCAAGAAAUAGAUGGAAAAAAAGAAGAGGAUGAAGUUGGAGGACAACAAAGACAGGAAAACGAAGAAACUAAAGCGAAAGUAGGGAAAAGACAAGGAGAAGAGGAGGAGGAAGAGGAAGAAGAAGAAGAAAAAGAAGAAGCCCAAAGGGAAGAAAUAGAAAAGGCAAAAAAUAUAAAAAGAGAAAUUUCUGUUUUAAAUAUUAUUAAGAAUCACAGAAUUUAUGAACAGCAUAGAUGCUCUUCUGAACUAGAAAUAGAGGAUGAGCCGUUAUCUUAUAAAAAUAGACAAACUAGAAAAUCAUCCAUGGAGACAAUGCUAAAAGAUUAUUACGCAAAUGAGUAUUACAUUGGAAAUAAAGAAUUCGAAAAAUUCCUAAGACAAAGUGCACUUACGAAAGAAGAAAGAGAAAUAUAUGAAAAUGAAUAUUUAUUAAAAGAUUCAUUAAAAUUGAAUAAUAACGGAAAUUGGGAUAAAACUCAAGGUGAUCUUCUAUAUUGCAAAAUAAAUUCGGGUGCCAUUUUAAGUGAUAAAGAAAAUCCAUCCUUAGAAUUGUUACAUCAAAAGUUGAUAAAGGAGGAGAAUAGGGAACUGUUUACCAAUACUCUUAAACAAGAACGUAACGAUUCAAUAGAUUCAUUACUUAAGUUAGACGAAUUCGAAAAAGAUGAUAAAUUGGCAAAAUAUUCAGAGAAAAAUGAAUUAAAUAAUAUCUUUACGGAAAAGAACGCAAAAUACGUCGAUUUUUUACUUUUAUGUAUGAAUAGCGAACAAAGUGAAAGAUUUUCAAUAGAGGCUUCUCCAUCGCUCGAAAAUCCUUCUUUAAAUGGAAAGAACUCUGAAAAGAGAGAGAGGGAUAAUACUAUAGUAAAUAAAUCGUACUCAAUUCCAGAUGCUACGAAUACAAAUACGCCAUUAAAAAGAGAAUAUAAUUGUAUUCUGACCGAUGAUAUCGUUCAACAGUAUAAGAUCAAUGGAAACAGGGAGUUAAAACCGCAAAAGUUGAACGUUAAGUCAGAAAUUAAACUACUCAAUUCUGGUAAUAAAUCGACAGUAGAUAAACACUUAGUUAAAACUUUAAGUGAUAGAUCUCAACUUAAUCAAGAACUAAUAAAUUGGUGUAAUAAAGAACUGAAAAAAUACAAAUCUAUUAAAUUAAUAGAUAAAAAACUAGAAGACAAAAACAAUGAUAAAAACGUCUGUAAGAGACAUAUUAAUAGGUUAAAAAAGGAUUCAAAAUGGUGGCCUGUUUGUUCGAAGUAUCCUAAAUUCAAAAUUGAUCAUUUAAAUAAAGAAAAAUUGAGUAACGUAUCAAGCUGCUCAGGCCUAGAGUCUAUAACAUCUAUUUUAAAUCGCAAUAAACCAAGGAAAAUAAACAACUCCUCGAGCACUUCGAAGACGAAGAUUUCCAUGAAGAAGAAGAAGAAAGAGAUAAAAAUUACCGGAAAAGUUCAACAUUCCGAGAUUGAUUGUAUCAGUUCUAGUGAAUCGAAAAGAGUAUCUGGGUCUGUUGUUUGCGAAUUAGGUACAGGAUCUAGAGAUGAAUCUACUUUAAAUAAUAGAACAAUAAAACAAAGUGGAGAAAAGAACCAGACGUUUAAUAAAUUUAGUGGUGAAAAAGUAAAAUCCAUGACAAAGAAGACAAAGCCGAAGAUGAAAAUGGAAACAACUUUUGAGAAACAAUCUCCAAAGUCCACUCAAAUAGGUCAAGGAAAAAGAGCACCUAAGAGUACACACAUUGAUAAAUCAUCCGCAUCUUCCUAUAGAACAAUCUCCUUCGAUUUGCAAGAAGUUAAGCUGAAAGGAAGACCAAAUAAGUUUUCAUCAAUUUCCUCUGCCGAUUUAUUUAAAUGUCAAACAAAUAUCUUAAGGAAAAAGAGAAAGAGAACUUGUACGUACAAGGGAAAAGUCGAAUAUCCUACCUCUACACCAACUUUAACAUCCUUCCUCCCCUCAACAGAACCACACACACUUAGCUAUAGUGAUAGUAUGGUAACAAACGGUAAUGCAAGUAGAAGAGAAAUAGAUAUAUUAGCGUCGUCAACACAUAUUGGACCAGGAAUUCCAAUAAAGAAGGAGGAGGUCGAAAAGUACGAUUCGAGACGAUCAAUACCCUUUGGAAUAUUGAACUCGCCUUCUCCUGGACAAAUUGACCUAGUAAAAGAUUGGGAAUGUUCAAAUACAAUUGAGAGUAUUCAAGAUGAAAACGUACCGAAAGUCAAUGAUAAAUCAUGGAGGAAUAAAAAUAAUUGGGAUAAAGUCAAGCUUGGAUUUAUUGGAAAUGAAUCAAUCAAUAAUAUAUUGAUAUCGAUAUUUAACGAAGAUAUUAGAUAAUCAAGGGAUUAUCCUUAAAAUUCUUAUUAAUUUAACAAUACUGGUUAAAACUGGUAUAGCUAUUUGCGUUGCUGGUAGAGAUGUGCUUCUGGAAGAUUUGGAUUUUGUUUCUAGACUAUUCAAAACUAUUGGUCUAGUAGAAAUUAUAAAGGAAGAAGAGCUGGAAGCAGUAUAUUCUAUAACUCAGAAUGGUUUAGUUAUUGUAAGGGGAAAAUUAAUGAUUUAAGCAGUAUACAGUCUACAGUCUAUAUACACAUAUUUUAUUAAUUAGGCGGCUACGGCUUUACAAGCUCUAACUGAUGGUGGAGUUUUAGUUGAUCUACCGAGAGAUGUCUCGCUAGAUAUUGCUGCGCAGACAAUAAAGGGUUCGGCAAAGAUGAUUUUAGAUAAUAAAUAUCAUAUUUGUAAUUUAAUUGAUAACUUUUUAACAAGUCAACCUUGUUUAUUCGGACUAAGAAAAUUGGAGGAGGAAAAGUUCAAGGCUACAAUUAAAAAUUGUUUACUUCCUUUAAAUAUCCUAGACAGAAAAACAUAGAAGACUUUAUUAAUAAAAGCCAAAAAAUAAACAUAACAAAAACAAAUAAAA
rnacentral:misc_RNA from 1 species